rnacentral:lncRNA from 1 species
AACAUGGCAAAGUGAGAGACACCCCUCACACCCCGACUGAGAAAGAUAAAGUAGAACAGAUGCACCAGGGAGAGGUGGAGCAGAGAUCCCAAGAGACAUUCAAAGACGGAGACCCAGCAGCCAGCAGGACAGAAACUCUGAGAUACACCUCCCCAAAGCUGGAAAGAGAGCCCCGGGGAGAGAUGCUGAGGGGGGAGGGCACCCCUUCCCCCAAGCCGACACUUACCAACGCUGAAGCUGAGGGAACUGAAGACAAGGUCGAUCUUGUUAAGGCGGCGGAAGACUGGCCAGAAGGAGAUGCCCAUGUAUGUCAAGAGCUUCAGCCCCUCCUGAGAAUUACGUCUCCUCCUUUUGGCUCUUCCUAUUGAGUCUGCUUUUCAACAAUGCAAGACUGUUUGAGCCAAAUGAGCUAAGACUCCCUCUGCUUCGUUUCUGGCAAACUGCAUGUCUCUAACACCUAACCAGAAAGCGGGAGCUCUUCUGUGACCCGUGAAACCAGUUCCCUACGUUUACUACCCUCUGAAGCAUCUAGAAUGAUUUCUUCUCCUAGCUGGAUCCUGACUUGCCACUACAUGGAGCCUUGAGAAUGAAACCAAUUCAAGUAGCCAAGAAACAGACAGACCGAAAUGUCUGAUGCUAUCACUUGGACUCCUGGGUUCAGCCAUGCCUGAAAGCACUCCUACCCCAACCCUUUUUCACUGAGGCGAGCCCGUAAAUUCCUUCACCCAAGCUAGUUCAAGUUAGAGUCUCUGUCAUUGUGACCCAAAAACUCCUAAUUCAAGGUAUUCCAUAGGUUGGCAAGGAACACAGGGGUCAAUGCUGCCUGCGUACCAGCCACCAAAAUCACAGUCAAACCCUAAAACACACACACACACACAGCCAGAAUUCAAUAUUCACCAA